UCCUACGGGAGGCAGCAGUAGGGAAUCUUCCGCAAUGGACGAAAGUCUGACGGAGCAACGCCGCGUGAGUGAUGAAGGCUUUCGGGUCGUAAAACUCUGUUGUUAGGGAAGAACAAGUGCUAGUUGAAUAAGCUGGCACCUUGACGGUACCUAACCAGAAAGCCACGGCUAACUACGUGCCAGCAGCCGCGGUAAUACGUAGGUGGCAAGCGUUGUCCGGAAUUAUUGGGCGUAAAGGGCUCGCAGGCGGUUUCUUAAGUCUGAUGUGAAAGCCCCCGGCUCAACCGGGGAGGGUCAUUGGAAACUGGGAAACUUGAGUGCAGAAGAGGAGAGUGGAAUUCCACGUGUAGCGGUGAAAUGCGUAGAGAUGUGGAGGAACACCAGUGGCGAAGGCGACUCUCUGGUCUGUAACUGACGCUGAGGAGCGAAAGCGUGGGGAGCGAACAGGAUUAGAUACCCUGGUAGUCCACGCCGUAAACGAUGAGUGCUAAGUGUUAGAGGGUUUCCGCCCUUUAGUGCUGAAGUUAACGCAUUAAGCACUCCGCCUGGGGAGUACGGCCGCAAGGCUGAAACUCAAAGGAAUUGACGGA
rnacentral:rRNA from 1 species